CAGUUUUCUUUGCUUACGUCGACAGUAGUAAGAUUGAGAUCGGAGAGAUCCUCGUCGGCGACGAAACACACACACUCACACACUAACGAAUGUGCUGACACAUAAUAUUCUGUUUUCUUUUCUUUUUUUGUUUGCUUCUCUUACUGAAUACUUCCCGCUUAAAAGGUGGCGAUUCCUUCUCCAGCCCCUCGUCCUCCUUUUACUCUUUCCUCCUCCCCCUUUUUUUUCUUCCUUCUCGUUCUUUGUCUACGUACUUUAACACCAUAUUUAUUCCCUUUUGUUUAACAAUUUUUUUUGAGGUAGAAAAAAGCCAGUUCUACUUAACUUUAAUUAAUAGUGAAACUUAAAUUUAGUCAUUUUUAAGUCUCUCAAUUACAAGUACACUAAAAUACACUCACUAGUGCGACUGAGUGUUAAUCCAGUUGAAUUGUUGCAAUCUGGCUUUUGCCGGCCAUCGGAGGAGGAGGAAGAGGAGGAGCUUCUUCGGUUUUCCAGCUGAAAAAAGUUAAAAAGGGGAGAAGGGAUUCACUGACACGGUGGUGCAGAACUAGUCACGUGUGGAUCGCGCGUUUUCUUGCUCGACCAAUUCCAUUCUUCUUCCUUUUUUUUAAAGUUUGUUAUGAGAUUCUUUAAAAGUAAUAGUUGCCUAUGAGGGCAUCUAAACCAUGGUGGUGGCUGCUGAAAAAAAGGCUCGCUAUAUUUGAUGGGGUUGGUUCUAUGAUCCAUACACUUCUGUUCAAUUCACCAUAAGCUGGGGAACAUGUGGAGCAAAGAUGAAACCACUGCCAUUUAUGGUAGUUAUCUGUACAUUAAUGUUGUUCGUGGUGUAUAGGACCACCAAUUAUCAGUACCGACAAACAGAGAUGGAGUCAAGAUUAAGGCCUUUUUUUAUGCUAAAGGAUUCUGGUAUACCUACUACGAGUUUGAAUGCAUUACCUCGUGGCAUCAUUGAGGCCAGAUCGGAUCUAGAGUUAAAGCCUCUAUGGUCAAGCGAUAGUUCAAGAAAAGAGCUCAAUACUCCCAGUUCUCAGUGCUUAUUGGCUAUUCCAGUUGGUAUUAAGCAGAAGCACAAUGUUGAUAGAAUCGUACAAAAGUUUCUUCCAGAGAAUUUUACAAUUGUUCUUUUCCACUAUGAUGGCAAUGUGGAUGGUUGGUGGAACCUUGAAUGGAGUAAGAAGGCAAUACAUAUGGUUGCCUUCAACCAAACCAAAUGGUGGUUUGCAAAGCGCUUCUUACACCCAGCUGUUGUAUCUGCUUAUGAUUACAUAUUCUUGUGGGAUGAAGAUCUUGGGGUGGAGCAUUUCUGCCCAAGAAGAUACUUGGAGAUUGUAAAGGCAGAAGGACUGGAAAUAUCUCAGCCAGCUUUAGACCCUAAUUCUACUGGUAUACAUCAUAGAAUUACAAUACGACAGAGAUCAAAGAAGUUUCACCAAAGAGUCUAUGAAACCAGAGGCAGUACGAAAUGUUCGGAUGCAAGUGAUGGGCCACCAUGUGCUGGGUUCGUGGAAGGAAUGGCUCCUGUCUUUUCAAGAGCUGCGUGGCAUUGUUCCUGGCACCUAAUACAGAGUGAUCUUGUUCAUGGAUGGGGAAUGGACAUGAAACUGGGAUAUUGUGCGCAGGGUGACCGCACGAAAAAUGUGGGAGUGGUUGAUAGUGAAUAUAUAGUUCAUCAGAGUAUACAGACAUUGGGAGGGAAAUCUGCCAAAAAGGUGAUCUACCUAUUCACUUCCUUCUCUUUUCUUUUAAUGUACGAGGUUGUUAUUUCAUGGCAUGGCUACACAUAUGCGACCAUUUUACAUGCUACAGCUCACAUCAAUACUAAGUCACUAACUUUUCUAAUUCUGUUUAGGGGGCGGAAGUUUUGGUCCUUGAUAAGCUACUUCAUUAUUGAUAUUUCACUUCUUAGAUGUUUAAAUUGCAGCUAAUGAAAAGCUUUAAGUUUUCUGUCUUUUUAUUUUUCCUUAAAAUGUUUAAAAUGUUUUUGUUGGAUUCUGGUAAUUUGGGUUAUAUGCCUUUAACAUUUUGGUUUUGAAUCGCAAUUAAAGAAAUAUUUCCUUUUUUUAAUCUAUGCAAAAAUCACCUUAGAGGCUAUCUUGGAGAACCCGGCCUCAACUUCUGUUAAAAUUCAGCCUUGUUUAAAAACAGAGAAGUGGAUUUUGACCUUAAAAGUUUUAUGAAACAAGAUAGACUGCAAUAUCCCUGUGGCGAGAAGAAGAAGAAGAGGGGCACAUUGUUUUCCGGAUUCCUGAUCUUUGAUGCUUGGUACUCGUUCCACUGCAAAAUCCUCUCUGAAUGAAUAAUAUAUAGAUACUAUGUGGCCAUUUAAACUUUAAAAUCACUUCAGAAUUUUACAAAGACAAAGUCUUCGCUUGAUGUUUCUGGGUCUAGCAUGACCUCCAUUAUUUCCAGGUUCUUUUCUUACCUUUUUGUACCAAAUCCCAAUUUCAAUGACCAUUGUUUUAUACAGCAUUAGCCAAAAAGCUGGAUCAGGGUGGUAAAACCUGCACCCAUUAGUGCAAGCAUAUGCAGUAGUUUAUCAAUCCACCUGUCUUUACAAAGAGUCUGCUGCAAUAAUGAGUAUGACAAUAGACAACGGAGGGUUUGAGGUAAUGAGACUGGCCAACUAUGGUGGAGGAAGAAGGAAUAGAAUUUGGAAGUAAGGAAUGGAGACUCCUAGAUAAGUUGAUUUCUUUAAAAUGGGCUUUGGAAAGUUGAUUUUAGAGAAAUCGAUUUCCACGUUUUAUGGAAAAUGAAUUAAAAGGACAAUAUUUUUUGACGUUCUUCUAAAAAUGAAUUCUUGGUAAAUAGCCCCUGAAGAUUUGCAUACCUGCCCUCAAUUAUAAAAUAGCCAGCCACCAUACAGAAAAACAGAUACCAUCAAAGAUCAAAUUCCACGAGGCACAAGGCUUUAAGUGUUAGCCUUAUAAUGACCUAGUGGAAUUAAACUGCCUGCAUGUUUUAGGAUAAUUCUUGUACUUAAGUUUUCACUCGAUUAUUAAGCCUUUAGUUCGCCACCAUCUAUCAUCAAAGUUGCUGGCUAUUUGACUGAUUUGCAGUUUCCUUUUUGUAUAUUGCUACUAACUUCAACAAAAGUGAAAACACUCUAGCAGUUGCUACUAACUCCAGUAAGUGAACACACUCUUAUGGUUGCUGUACAGAGGAGGUGGUUGACUGAAUAAUUGAAAUAUGCCAAAUAUAUGAAUCCAACUCCCACAUCUAUGUAGUCGUGGCCUGCAUGUGAGGGGACUCUUGUUCAAAACUUAGUUUCUCAAAGCACUGUUGGGCUGAUUAACCUACCCCCACCUAUGUAUCUUUGAUAAGACAGAUAGUUUCAGAUGGUUGAGCUAGCAGUUGAAAUAGAUAUAAUGUCAAUAUUAAGUAGCUGCUAAGGAUACGAGGGUUCCAUUAAAUAACUUCUAACGCUUACAUAAUUUUUGCUUCGUCACGUAUUAAGGAAGAGAAAUCUUCAAUUACUUGGGAAACAAAGCUAUAUAAAGCCAAUAGCUGCAAGAAGCCUUAUUUCAGAAAAACCAAGGCACUGAACCAAAAGAUUACUUUUCCUGAUCCUGAAGUUGCUUGUAUAUGCAUUGAAGAAUUUUGACAUAUUGGUAGUGCACCUAGUUUUUGCUCGCAACUCAGUGCUAGGUUUUUGGUCGGGAGGAGCUUACGAUUUCAGGUCUUGGAUCUGUGCCUGAUUUGCUUACCAUACCUCAAUUGCUGGAGGGUCAACAAAGAGGCAUGAAGUUGAUGUACGAUCUGAGGUUAGGAGGCAAUCAACAUCAGAGCUUCAGACAUUUGAAGAUCGGUGGGAGCGAGCCAUUAAAGAGGACAGAUACUGGGUGGAUCCAUAUAAAGGAAGCCAAAGAAGGCGGCGGCGAUACAGCAGAAGACGGCAUCAUAAAGCGUAGCCUUAGUUUGUCCGAUCACUCAGAUUCACACACUGUAGUUCUUAGUCUCUGCAGGCUAUAAUGAUCAUCAUCAUUAAUUCAUUGUUUCAAUAGUGCCAUUAUUUAUUUGUGCCUGUAAUUCAUUUUUUUUUUUUGUUUCCACUAAUGUUACAAAUGACUCGGGGUAUCCCUAAUCUUCCUCUCCUCACUAAUUCCCCUUCCAUGUUUAAUGCUUCAUGAAACGGCCUUUGUGUCAUGGGAUAUGUAAAAUCUGAUGCAUAUUUGAU